CGGGAGGCCAGCCUGGGAGCAGCUGGGCCAGGCUGGUAGUAAAUGCUGUUCACGGCAGGGACAGUGUCGGAGGCCAGGCUGGGCGCGGCAGGACCCUUCCCGGAGGCCAGGCUGGGCGCAGCAGGGCCUGUCUGGGAGGUCAGGCUGGGAGCAUCAGGGCCACGGUGGUAGGCCAGGCUGGUAGCGGCUGGGCCAGGCUGGCAGUACAUGCUGAUUGUGUCAGGGACAGUCUCAGAGGCCAGGUUGGGCGCGGCAGGGUCAGGCUGCGGUGUCAGCCGGGCAGCGGCAGGGCCAGGCUGCGAGGACAGCUGGGGAGCUGCAGGGCCAGGCUCGGGGGACAGGCCGGGAGAGGCAGGGCCGGACCGGGAGGAUACGCUGGGAAAGGUAGCGUCAGACUGGGAAGACACACUGGGAAAGGCAGGGGCAGACUGGGAGGACAGGCUGGGAUCGGAAGGGCCAGACUGGGAGGACGGGCUGGGAGAGGCACGAUUUGGGUACACAUUGGGAGUUGUGGUCCUCUGGAUGGCCAUGGGCGGCAGGGAGCUUCUGCCACCCUGUUCUCCGUGGGUCUUCAGUCCGCAGAAUAAGCGAUCAGCGCGGGGGACAGGCUCGCUGGCCAUAUACAGAUCGUGAGGUGACAGUUUGGGACCUGGAGGGCACCAUGAUGUUUGGUCUGUACCCUCUUGCGCAGUCCUCCCCACUUUUCUGAAGUCCCGUCCCUCGAGGGCGCAGCUUUGUAGCAGUAAGAAUGUUGCCAUAAGGUGGUUAUAUUCUUUCUUCCUGAGGGUGUCCAUCACUUCAAGUUGAUCGAAACCCAUCUCUGCCAUGUGGGUUAGAAUGGCCCUCUUGGCGGACAAAGGGAGCGGCCCAGAAGGACUUUGGGGCCGGACACCCUGGCGCCACUGCUCAUGCAGCAGCUCCUGCGCUGUUGGUCGCCUUUUGGCGCUCCUGUUCAUGAUCUUUCCAAUCAAGUUUUUUACUUUCACAGAGACAAAGUCUGGGUAGCGCACAAUCCCAAAAAUGAUGGUAUCAUUUAUCUCUGGUGGCAUUCCAGAGAAGAGAUGCCUCCCUGUGAUCGUCUCAUAUAAUAUUACCCCGAGGGCCCAGACAUCCAGAGGAGGGCCUUCGUAGGUGGGAUACAGGAAUCGUUCCGGGGCAAAAUAGGCUGGCGUCCCACCAGGCACGCUCAGCUCCUGCCCGGGGACGAACCGGAACGCUAACCCGAAGUCACAUAGUUUAGCUCGGCCAUUGGUGUUGAGCAAAACAUUUCCGGGCUUGAGGUCCCCAUGUACGAUACCCUGCCUGUGGCAGUAAUUUACCGCUUCCAAGAUGUCUUGGAAAAUAGUCAGGGCAUCCUCCUCGUACAGCCUGUUCCUUUUGCCGCAGAAGAGCACUUGCCCCAGGUUGAUCCCGUGCACAAAUUCUAGUACAAGAUGUACGUAUUCCUUCGAUUCUGUUACCUCCAGCAGCUGUGUGAUGUUACGGUGUUGAAGGUCCUUCAGUAUGGCAACCUCCGUUGCAAUGUAGGCCGCUUGCCCCUUUGUCUUUUUUAAUUCCUUUAUGGCGACCCACUUGUAUGUGCCGUAGUGUCGCCCUACAAACACCUUGCCAAAGCUGCCUCGGCCAAUGAAGCCCAGCACCUUAUAGUUGUCUUCGAUUUGAUAACUAGACCUGCUGGUUGUGAGGCCCAGCCAAGAUGUUCCCUCGCUACAGUCUCCAGGACCUCCGCCUGGCACAGUGUCACGAUGUCUUCUGCUCCCCAUCGCUCCAAAUAGAUUACUAAAUUUUCAGCGUCAAUCUCCACUCCACUCUCUCUCAGAGUCUCCUUCCACCCACAGCAGACCCACCUGAGCCACGGCC
ensembl:lincRNA